CUGAUGCAGCACGCCGCGUGCGGGAUGACGGCCUUCGGGUUGUAAACCGCUUUCGCCUGUGACGAAGCGUGAGUGACGGUAAUGGGUAAAGAAGCACCGGCUAACUACGUGCCAGCAGCCGCGGUGAUACGUAGGGUGCGAGCGUUGUCCGGAUUUAUUGGGCGUAAAGGGCUCGUAGGUGGUUGAUCGCGUCGGAAGUGUAAUCUUGGGGCUUAACCCUGAGCGUGCUUUCGAUACGGGUUGACUUGAGGAAGGUAGGGGAGAAUGGAAUUCCUGGUGGAGCGGUGGAAUGCGCAGAUAUCAGGAGGAACACCAGUGGCGAAGGCGGUUCUCUGGGCCUUUCCUGACGCUGAGGAGCGAAAGCGUGGGGAGCGAACAGGCUUAGAUACCCUGGUAGUCCACGCUGUAAACGGUGGGUACUAGGUGUGGGGUCCAUUCCACGGGUUCCGUGCCGUAGCUAACGCUUUAAGUACCCCGCCUGGGGAGUACGGCCGCAAGGCUAAAACUC
rnacentral:rRNA from 1 species